rnacentral:RNase_P_RNA from 1 species
AAGGCAAGCCGACUGGUCGCUCAUAUUUUAUGGGAGGAAAGUCCGGGCAGCAUAGGGCGUCACACUUCCUAACGGGAAGCCAUGUUGCAUAGCAUGAGGGAAAGUGCCACAGAAAAUAACCGCCUCGACUUGUCGGGGUAAGGGUGAAAACGUAAGGUAAGAGCUUACGGAAAGGUAUGGUAACAUAUUUUUCGGGCAAACCCUGUGAGCUGAAAGACCAAAUAAACCUCGGAUAACUGCCUGCCCGGCAGUGCUUCUUAGAAGCUUCGGGGAGGGUAGGUUGAUACAGGUGUUAGGCGACUGACAUCGCAGAUAAAUGACCGGAUAAAACAGAACCCGGCUUACGGGCUUGCCUUUUUU